AUUUGUACCUGACAGGAGAAAUACCAUGAUCACUAAGGUGGUUUUCCCCUUAUCCACUGCACUCUGGAUGUUUCCUUGUGAUUUCUCCAUUGUGGGAAAUUUGACCACAUUCUGUGGUAGUGGGGGACUGUUUGCACUCUCCCCUG
rnacentral:snRNA from 1 species